rnacentral:tRNA from 1 species
GCCCCGAUGGUGAAAUCGGUAGACACCCGCGACUUAAAAUCGCGUGCUGAAAGGCGUGUGGGUUCGAGUCCCGCUCGGGGCACCA